GACGAACGCUGGCGGCGUGCUUAACACAUGCAAGUCGAACGAUGAUCCGGUGCUUGCACCGGGGAUUAGUGGCGAACGGGUGAGUAACACGUGAGUAACCUGCCCUUGACUCUGGGAUAAGCCUGGGAAACCGGGUCUAAUACCGGAUACGACCUUUCACCGCAUGGUGGUUGGUGGAAAGAUUUUUUGGUUUUGGAUGGACUCGCGGCCUAUCAGCUUGUUGGUGAGGUAAUGGCUCACCAAGGCGACGACGGGUAGCCGGCCUGAGAGGGUGACCGGCCACACUGGGACUGAGACACGGCCCAGACUCCUACGGGAGGCAGCAGUGGGGAAUAUUGCACAAUGGGCGAAAGCCUGAUGCAGCGACGCCGCGUGAGGGAUGACGGCCUUCGGGUUGUAAACCUCUUUCAGCAGGGAAGAAGCGAAAGUGACGGUACCUGCAGAAGAAGCGCCGGCUAACUACGUGCCAGCAGCCGCGGUAAUACGUAGGGCGCAAGCGUUGUCCGGAAUUAUUGGGCGUAAAGAGCUCGUAGGCGGUUUGUCGCGUCUGCUGUGAAAGCCCGGGGCUCAACCCCGGGUCUGCAGUGGGUACGGGCAGACUAGAGUGCAGUAGGGGAGACUGGAAUUCCUGGUGUAGCGGUGAAAAUGCGCAGAUAUCAGGAGGAACACCGAUGGCGAAGGCAGGUCUCUGGGCUGUAACUGACGCUGAGGAGCGAAAGCAUGGGGAGCGAACAGGAUUAGAUACCCUGGUAGUCCAUGCCGUAAACGUUGGGCACUAGGUGUGGGGGACAUUCCACGUUUUCCGCGCCGUAGCUAACGCAUUAAGUGCCCCGCCUGGGGAGUACGGCCGCAAGGCUAAAACUCAAAGGAAUUGACGGGGGCCCGCACAAGCGGCGGAGCAUGCGGAUUAAUUCGAUGCAACGCGAAGAACCUUACCAAGGCUUGACAUGGACCGGACCGCCGCAGAAAUGCGGUUUCCCUUCGGGGCUGGUUUACAGGUGGUGCAUGGUUGUCGUCAGCUCGUGUCGUGAGAUGUUGGGUUAAGUCCCGCAACGAGCGCAACCCUCGUUCUAUGUUGCCAGCGCGUUAUGGCGGGGACUCAUAGGAGACUGCCGGGGUCAACUCGGAGGAAGGUGGGGACGACGUCAAAUCAUCAUGCCCCUUAUGUCUUGGGCUUCACGCAUGCUACAAUGGCCGGUACAAAGGGUUGCGAUACUGUGAGGUGGAGCUAAUCCCAAAAAGCCGGUCUCAGUUCGGAUUGAGGUCUGCAACUCGACCUCAUGAAGUCGGAGUCGCUAGUAAUCGCAGAUCAGCAACGCUGCGGUGAAUACGUUCCCGGGCCUUGUACACACCGCCCGUCAAGUCACGAAAGUUGGUAACACCCGAAGCCGGUGGCCUAACCCCUUGUGGGAGGGAGCCGUCGAAGGUGGGACCGGCGAUUGGG
rnacentral:rRNA from 1 species